rnacentral:rRNA from 1 species
GACGUAGGGUGCGAGCGUUGUCCGGAUUUAUUGGGCGUAAAGAGCUCGUAGGCGGCUCGUCGCGUCGACCGUGAAAACCCGCAGCUCAACUGUGGGCUUGCAGCUGAUACGGGCAGGCUUGAGUUCGGUAGGGGAGACUGGAAUUCCUGGUGUAGCGGUGAAAUGCGCAGAUAUCAGGAGGAACACCGGUGGCGAAGGCGGGUCUCUGGGCCGAUACUGACGCUGAGGAGCGAAAGCGUGGGGAGCGAACAGG